rnacentral:rRNA from 1 species
AGUGAACGCUGGCGGUAGGCCUAACACAUGCAAGUCGAACGGCAGCACAGUAAGAGCUUGCUCUUACGGGUGGCGAGUGGCGGACGGGUGAGGAAUACAUCGGAAUCUACUUUUUCGUGGGGGAUAACGUAGGGAAACUUACGCUAAUACCGCAUACGACCUACGGGUGAAAGCAGGGGAUCUUCGGACCUUGCGCGAUUGAAUGAGCCGAUGUCGGAUUAGCUAGUUGGCGGGGUAAAGGCCCACCAAGGCGACGAUCCGUAGCUGGUCUGAGAGGAUGAUCAGCCACACUGGAACUGAGACACGGUCCAGACUCCUACGGGAGGCAGCAGUGGGGAAUAUUGGACAAUCGGCGCAAGCCUGAUCCAGCCAUACCGCGUGGGUGAAGAAGGCCUUCGGGUUGUAAAGCCCUUUUGUUGGGAAAGAAAAGCAGCAGGUUAAUACCCCGCUGUUCUGACGGUACCCAAAGAAUAAGCACCGGCUAACUUCGUG